rnacentral:rRNA from 2 species
UCUGGUGUUAGCCGCCGCGGUAAAACCAGCACCUCAAGUGGUCAGGAUGAUUAUUGGGCCUAAAGCAUCCGUAGCCUGCUUUGUCAGUUUUCGGUUAAAUCCAUACGCUCAACGUAUGGGCUGCCGGGAAUACUGCAAAGCUAGGGAGUGGGAGAGGUAGACGGUACUCGGUAGGAAGGGGUAAAAUCCUUUGAUCUAUUGAUGACCACCUGUGGCGAAGGCGGUCUACCAGAACACGUCCGACGGUGAGGGAUGAAAGCUGGGGGAGCAAACCGGAUUAGAUACCCGGGUAGUCCCAGCUGUAAACUAUGCAAACUCAGUGAUGCAUUGGCUUGAUGCCAAUGCAGUGCUGCAGGGAAGCCGUUAAGUUUGCCGCCUGGGAAGUACGUACGCAAGUAUGAAACUUAAAGGAAUUGGCGGGGGAGCACCACAAGGGGUGAAGCCUGCGGUUCAAUUGGAGUCAACGCCAGAAAUCUUACCCGGAGAGACAGCAGAAUGAAGGUCAAGCUGAAGACUUUACCAGACAAGCU